rnacentral:rRNA from 1 species
AAUGGAAAGACCGGUACAAGCGAGGUAGGAGAAGAGUUGGCAAAUCCGCUCUUCAAUCUGAAGACGUGAUGUGGACUGAAAAUAAGUAGGGAAGCACGUGAGCUGACUGUCAAGAAAAGCCGCUAUUGUUUGCAGGAUACCCGUACCGUAAACCGACACAGGUGGAUGAGGAGAGAAUCCUAAGGCCGACGGGAGAAGCAUUGUUAAGGAACUCGGCAAAAUGACUCCGUAACUUCGGGAGAAGGAGUGCCAGUAAGAUGGCCGCAGAGAAUUGGCCCAAGCAACUGUUUAGCAAAAACACAGGUCUAUGCAAAACCGAAAGGUGAGGUAUAUGGGCUGACGCCUGCCCGGUGCUGGAAGGUUAAGGGGAGAGGUUAGCGCAAGCGAAGCUUUGAACUUAAGCCCCAGUAAACGGCGGCCGUAACGAUAACGGUCCUAAGGUAGCGAAAUUCCUUGUCGGGUAAGUUCCGACCCGCACGAAAGGCGUAAUGAUUUGGGCACUGUCUCAACAAUGCACCCGGUGAAAUUGAAAUACCAGUGAAGAUGCUGGUUACCUGCGCCAGGACGGAAAGACCCCAUGGAGCUUUACUCCAGCUUGAUACUGGGAUUCGGUAUUGCAUGUACAGGAUAGGUGGGAGGCUAGGAAAUGGUAACGCCAGUUGCCAUGGAGCCAAUGUUGGGAUACCACCCUUGCAGUACUGGGUUUCUAACCAGCAGCCGUGAUCCGGCUGGGGGACAAUGUCAGGUGGGGAGUUUGACUGGGGCGGUCGCCUCCGAAAGGGUAUCGGAGGCGCUCAAAGGCUCCCUCAGAAUGGUUGGAAACCAUUCGAAGAGUGCAAAGGCAGAAGGGAGCUUGACUGCGACACCGACGGGUGGAGCAGGUACGAAAGUAGGACUUAGUGAUCCGGUGGUAUAAAGUGGGAUUGCCAUCGCUCAACGGAUAAAAGCUACCCUGGGGAUAACAGGCUUAUCACUCCCAAGAGUUCACAUCGACGGAGUGGUUUGGCACCUCGAUGUCGGCUCAUCGCAUCCUGGGGCCGAAGUAGGUCCCAAGGGUUGGGCUGUUCGCCCAUUAAAGCGGUACGCGAGCUGGGUUCAGAACGUCGUGAGACAGUUCGGUCCCUAUCCGGCGUGGGCGUAAGAUAUUUGAGAGGAGCUGUCCUUAGUACGAGAGGACCGGGAUGGACUGGCCGCUGGUGUAUCUGUUGUCUUACCAAAGGCAUAGCAGAGUAGCCAAGCCGGGAAGGGAUAAACGCUGAAGGCAUCUAAGCGUGAAGCCCCCCUCAAGAUGAGAUAUCUCAUAACGUCAAGUUAGUAAGACCCCUUGAAGACGACGAGGUAGAUAGGGCAGAGGUGGAAGUGUGGUAACACAUGGAGCUGACUGUUACUAAUAGGUCGAGGGCAUAACC